AGAGUUUGAUCCUGGCUCAGGACGAACGCUGGCGGCGUGCCUAACACAUGCAAGUCGAGCGAGUGAAUCUCCUUCGGGAGUGAAGCUAGCGGCGGACGGGUGAGUAACACGUGGGCAACCUGCCUCAUAGAGGGGAAUAGCCUUCCGAAAGGAAGAUUAAUACCGCAUAAGAUUGUAGCUUCGCAUGAAGUAGCAAUUAAAGGAGCAAUCCGCUAUGAGAUGGGCCCGCGGCGCAUUAGCUAGUUGGUGAGGUAACGGCUCACCAAGGCGACGAUGCGUAGCCGACCUGAGAGGGUGAUCGGCCACAUUGGGACUGAGACACGGCCCAGACUCCUACGGGAGGCA
rnacentral:rRNA from 1 species